rnacentral:rRNA from 1 species
CUAAACCGUUUGCGUGUGAUACCCGGCAGGGGUUGCGCAGGCGGGGUCGUGGGACUUCUCAGUCAGAUCUGCCGGUCUGGCACAGAGUAAGAAACCAGUUGUGUAGUCGAAGGCGAUGCGAAAGCGCCGGCAUAGUGGGUAAAACCCCCGUAGACGAAACAUGACUGGCUCUGGAGGAGUAUCCCAAGUAGCACGGGGCCCGAGAAAUCCCGUGUGAAUCUGGCGGGACCACCCGCUAAGCCUGAAUACUCCCUG